AUAGUUUGAUCAUGCGGUCACAUUGAACGCUGGCGGCUGGCUUAACACAUGCAAGUCUAGCGGGCGAGGUUGCUUCGGUAACUGAGCUAGCGGCGGACGGGUGAGUAAUGCUUAGGAAUCUGCCUAUUAGUGGGGGACAACAUUCCGAAAGGGAUGCUAAUACCGCAUACGUCCUACGGGAGAAAGCAGGGGCUCUUUAUGACCUUGCGCUAAUAGAUGAGCCUAAGUCGGAUUAGCUAGUUGGUGGGGUAAAAGCCUACCAAGGCGACGAUCUGUAGCGGGUCUGAGAGGAUGAUCCGCCACACUGGGACUGAGACACGGCCCAGACUCCUACGGGAGGCAGCAGUGGGGAAUAUUGGACAAUGGGGGGAACCCUGAUCCAGCCAUGCCGCGUGUGUGAAGAAGGCCUUUUGGUUGUAAAGCACUUUAAGUGGGGAGGAGGCUUACCUGGUUAAUACCUGGGCUAAGUGGACGUUACCCACAGAAUAAGCACCGGCUAACUCUGUGCCAGCAGCCGCGGUAA
rnacentral:rRNA from 1 species